rnacentral:rRNA from 1 species
GUGAGGAAUCUUCCACAAUGGGCGAAAGCCUGACGGAGCAACGCCGCGUGAGUGAAGAAGGUUUUCGGAUCGUAAAGCUCUUUCGUUAGGGACGAACGUGCUCUUUGUGAAUAAUGAGGAGUAAUGACGGUACCUAAAUAAGAAGCCACGGCUAACUACGUGCCAGCAGCCGCGGUAAUACGUAGGUGGCAAGCGUUGUCCGGAAUUAUUGGGCGUAAAGCGCGCGCAGGCGGGAUAUCAAGUCUGUCUUAAAAGUGCGAGGCUCAACCUCGUGAGGGGACAGAAACUGGUAUUCUUGAGUGUCGGAGAGGAAAGUGGAAUUCCAAGUGUAGCGGUGAAAUGCGUAGAGAUUUGGAAGAACACCAGUGGCGAAGGCGACUUUCUGGACGAUGUCUGACGCUGAGGCGCGAAAGCUAGGGGAGCGAACGGGAUUAGAAACCCCAGUAGUCC